GGGGCUUUAGCUUAGUGGUAGAGCACAUGUGUCACAUGCAAAAGGCUCCAGGUUCAAUCCCUGGUGCCUCCA